rnacentral:rRNA from 1 species
GACGAACGCUGGCGGCGUGCUUAACACAUGCAAGUCGAACGGUGAAGCGCCUUCCUUUUUGGUGGGUGUGGAUGAGUGGCGAACGGGUGAGUAACACGUGAGUAACCUGCCCCCUUCUUCUGGAUAACCGCAUGAAAGUGUGGCUAAUACGGGAUAUUCUGGGUCUGUCGCAUGAUGGGUCUGGGAAAGAUAUUGUUUCGGUGGGGGAUGGGCUCGCGGCCUAUCAGCUUGUUGGUGGGGUGAUGGCCUACCAAGGCGGUGACGGGUAGCCGGCCUGAGAGGGUGGACGGUCACACUGGGACUGGGACACGGCCCAGACUCCUACGGGGGGCAGCAGUGGGGAAUAUUGGACAAUGGGCGCAAGCCUGAUGCAGCGACGCCGCGUGAGGGAUGGAGGCCUUCGGGUUGUGAACCUCUUUCGCCAGUGAAGCAGGCCUGCCUCGUUUGUGGGUGGGUUGACGGUAGCUGGAUAAGAAGCGCCGGCUAACUACGUG